GACGAACCACACAACCGUUAUUCGGAAUUACUGGGCGUAAAGCGCACGUAGUCGGCUUUGCAAGUCGGGUGUGAAAUCCCCGGGCUCAACCUGGGAACUGCAUCCGAGACUGCAUUGCUAGAGUAUGGGAGAGGGAAGCGGAAUUUCUGGUGUAGCAGUGAAAUGCGUAGAUAUCAGAAGGAACAUCAGUGGCGAAGGCGGCUUCCUGGACCAAUACUGACGAUCAGGUGCGAAAGCGUGGGGAGCAAACAGG
rnacentral:rRNA from 1 species